GGAUCGUGAAGGUCGGCAUGGAAGAGGAGAACGAUAUCAGAGGCCUCAUAGGUGGGAUCGGAGGAGGAGGAGAAGAGGUUAGGAGGAAGAGGAGAGGAAAGGAGAGAGAGCACUCAUGAGUGGGCUUAAGGAGGAGGAUGAUGAGGAAAAGUUGGUGAGAAAAAAAGAGAGGAGGGAGAAAAAGGGACUGCCGGCAAGGAUGGAUGGAGAUGGAAGGAGCCACCAUGGGAAGGAGGGUCAUGAGCAGGCU
rnacentral:lncRNA from 1 species